rnacentral:rRNA from 1 species
AGACCCGAAACCCGGUGAUCUAGCCAUGGGCAGGUUGAAGGUUGGGUAACACUAACUGGAGGACCGAACCGACUAAUGUUGAAAAAUUAGCGGAUGACCUGUGGCUGGGGGUGAAAGGCCAAUCAAACCGGGAGAUAGCUGGUUCUCCCCGAAAGCUAUUUAGGUAGCGCCUCGUGAAUUCAUCUCCGGGGGUAGAGCACUGUUUCGGCUAGGGGGCCAUCCCGGCUUACCAACCCGAUGCAAACUGCGAAUACCGGAGAAUGUUAUCACGGGAGACACACGGCGGGUGCUAACGUCCGUCGUGAAGAGGGAAACAACCCAGACCGCCAGCUAAGGUCCCAAAGUCAUGGUUAAGUGGGAAACGAUGUGGGAAGGCCCAGACAGCCAGGAUGUUGGCUUAGAAGCAGCCAUCAUUUAAAGAAAGCGUAAUAGCUCACUGGUCGAGUCGGCCUGCGCGGAAGAUGUAACGGGGCUAAACCAUGCACCGAAGCUGCGGCAGCGACAUUUAGGUGUUGUUGGGUAGGGGAGCGUUCUGUAAGCCUGUGAAGGUGGCCUGUGAGGGUUGCUGGAGGUAUCAGAAGUGCGAAUGCUGACAUAAGUAACGAUAAAGCGGGUGAAAAGCCCGCUCGCCGGAAGACCAAGGGUUCCUGUCCAACGUUAAUCGGGGCAGGGUGAGUCGACCCCUAAGGCGAGGCCGAAAGGCGUAGUCGAUGGGAAACGGGUUAAUAUUCCCGUACUUGGUGUUACUGCGAAGGGGGGACGGAGAAGGCUAUGUUGGCCGGGCGACGGUUGUCCCGGUUUAAGCGUGUAGGUGUGUGUUCCAGGUAAAUCCGGUUCACUUUAACACUGAGGCGUGACGACGAGGCACUACGGUGCUGAAGCAACAAAUGCCCUGCUUCCAGGAAAAGCCUCUAAGCAUCAGGUAACAUCAAAUCGUACCCCAAACCGACACAGGUGGUCAGGUAGAGAAUACCAAGGCGCUUGAGAGAACUCGGGUGAAGGAACUAGGCAAAAUGGUGCCGUAACUUCGGGAGAAGGCACGCUGACACGUAGGUGAAGUGAUUUACUCACGGAGCUGAAGUCAGUCGAAGAUACCAGCUGGCUGCAACUGUUUAUUAAAAACACAGCACUGUGCAAACACGAAAGUGGACGUAUACGGUGUGACGCCUGCCCGGUGCCGGAAGGUUAAUUGAUGGGGUCAGCGCAAGCGAAGCUCCUGAUCGAAGCCCCGGUAAACGGCGGCCGUAACUAUAACGGUCCUAAGGUAGCGAAAUUCCUUGUCGGGUAAGUUCCGACCUGCACGAAUGGCGUAAUGAUGGCCAGGCUGUCUCCACCCGAGACUCAGUGAAAUUGAACUCGCUGUGAAGAUGCAGUGUACCCGCGGCAAGACGGAAAGACCCCGUGAACCUUUACUAUAGCUUGACACUGAACAUUGAGCCUUGAUGUGUAGGAUAGGUGGGAGGCUUUGAAGCGUGGACGCCAGUCUGCGUGGAGCCGACCUUGAAAUACCACCCUUUAAUGUUUGAUGUUCUAACGUGGACCCGUGAUCCGGGUUGCGGACAGUGUCUGGUGGGUAGUUUGACUGGGGCGGUCUCCUCCUAAAGAGUAACGGAGGAGCACGAAGGUUGGCUAAUCCUGGUCGGACAUCAGGAGGUUAGUGCAAUGGCAUAAGCCAGCUUGACUGCGAGCGUGACGGCGCGAGCAGGUGCGAAAGCAGGUCAUAGUGAUCCGGUGGUUCUGAAUGGAAGGGCCAUCGCUCAACGGAUAAAAGGUACUCCGGGGAUAACAGGCUGAUACCGCCCAAGAGUUCAUAUCGACGGCGGUGUUUGGCACCUCGAUGUCGGCUCAUCACAUCCUGGGGCUGAAGUAGGUCCCAAGGGUAUGGCUGUUCGCCAUUUAAAGUGGUACGCGAGCUGGGUUUAGAACGUCGUGAGACAGUUCGGUCCCUAUCUGCCGUGGGCGCUGGAGAACUGAGGGGGGCUGCUCCUAGUACGAGAGGACCGGAGUGGACGCAUCACUGGUGUUCGGGUUGUCAUGCCAAUGGCACUGCCCGGUAGCUAAAUGCGGAAGAGAUAAGUGCUGA